UACGAAGGGUGCAAGCGUUAAUCGGAAUUACUGGGCGUAAAGGGCGCGUAGGCGGCUCGUUAAGUCCGUUGUGAAAUCCCCGGGCUCAACCUGGGAAUGGCAAUGGAUACUGGCUGGCUAGAGUGUGUCAGAGGCCAGCGGAAUUCCGGGUGUAGCGGUGGAAUGCGUAGAGAUCCGGAAGAACACCGGAGGCGAAGGCGGCUGGCUGGGCCUGAUCUGACGCUGAGGUGCGAAAGCGUGGGGAGCGAACAGG
rnacentral:rRNA from 1 species